rnacentral:rRNA from 1 species
GAUGAACGCUGGCGGCGUGCCUAAUACAUGCCAGUCGAGCGAACAGACGAGGAGCUUGCUCCUCUGACGUUAGCGGCGGACGGGUGAGUAACACGUGGAUAACCUACCUAUAAGACUGGGAUAACUUCGGGAAACCGGAUCUAAUACCGGAUAAUAUAUUGAACCGCAUGGUUCAAUAGUGAAAGACGGUUUUGCUGUCACUUAUAGAGGGAUCCGCGCCGCAUUAGCUAGUUGGUAAGGUAACGGCUUACCAAGGCGACGAUGCGUAGCCGACCUGAGAGGGUGAUCGGCCACACGGGAACUGAGACACGGUCCAGACUCCUACGGGAGGCAGCAGUAGGGAAUCUGCCGCAAUGGGCGAAAGCCUUACGGAGCAACGCCGCGUGAGUGAUGAAGGUCUUCGGAUCGUAAAACUCUGUUAUUAGGGAAGAACAAAUGUGUAAGUAAAUAUGCACGUCUUGACGGUACCUAAUCAGAAAGCAACGGCUAACUACGUG